rnacentral:lncRNA from 1 species
GCCAAAACUAUGUGCAAAAAGGUGCCAAUGCUUCCUCUUCCAUCAGCUCAGAGGUUCCAGAAGGAGUGCUAAAUUCAGCGGCAGAUGUGAGUGAACUUCAGAUGGUUUCUCCUAAUCACUUGGAGCAGCAGUCGGGUACAGUGAACGACAACAACAACCAUUCCCUCAACCGCAGUCUGUCCCAUACAGGGUCUUCAGUGAAUGGAGUAUGUGACGUGUCAGAGAAGGCCGCUCUAGAGCAGUUCUCCAGUGGUUUGACUGAAUUAGAAUUAGGCACAGAUGAGGUUUUUGUCAUCGCCUCUGCACCCAACUCAGCCCAACUGCCUUUCUCCCCACAUACUCAACGAGACCGUUUCCUGAGACACAGUGACACGGGAUCCAGCCGCCCCUUUGACUGGUCGACUCCAGACCAAGCGCUGCCUUCUGUGACAAAGAGCAGCCAUGCCGGGUCCACAAACAGCGCACGACCACGAGCAUGGAGCGUCCGAACCUUCCAGGAUCUCCUUCCACCUCUUCCUCAACUCCAUAAGAAAUGGUGCAGCUGGAACUCAACCAGCCCAUUCACAAAGCUGGUGGACAGUGGACUCACAAGCACAUCUACAGACACUAGAAGGGGAAAGGUCCUAUCUGAUGCUCCUCUUCAUAGUCCCGCCAACAGCUGCCAGUCCGACUCCUUCAUGAGUAACGCCUCGUACCCCCUGACUCAACCCGCCCAGUGCCAGCGACGUCUCAACUCCACCAGCAACCUCAGACGCGCACGUUUCAACACUCCAUGCUUUGGCCUGCUGUCUGGCACAUCUGAGUCCUCCAAACCACAAGUAAAUGGAAUUACAACCUCAAAUACGUUCUCCGACACCAGCGGUGCCCCAUCAAGCCAGCUGCAGGUCAAAGGUCAAGUAUCAAGGAUUGAGGAUGACCACAUCACGGUACCAGUGUUUGCAAUCUCAGAAGAGGAAGACCAACAGCCUCUUGUUUCAGCAGAACAUCCCGAGAAGCCUUUGAGAAUGAAUGAACAGAUGUUUGAAGGCACAAAGAUGCCACUGCUAUCGAAAAGCCAAGUUCCCAGCAUCCAACCAAUCUCUUUAUCGAGGGGAGGCCGUGGAGGUGCAUUGAAGACGCAGGAUCCUUCAGCUCUCUCUUGUUAACAGUGACCCCAGAAAUAAAGUCUGCCAGUGCCAUGAAGUUUGAGAAUGAUGGUCAUGUCAGGACUGAAAACUCACAGCUUAUGAGCUGUUCCUGAUGUCUUCAUAUGGUGUGAAGCACAUAUAUGGUGUGUGACUAUGCCGUGGAGUUUCAAAAGGGUUUGUUAUGAAUAUUGGCAUGAAUGAAAAAUGUAAGCACUUAUUGUUCUUCCUGUUAUUGUAUCUGCACAGUUAAUUCACUAAAACUAUCUAACAGUAUAUUUUAUAACCUGCAAAUGUAUGUAUAUGAUAAACUUUUAACCAAGAUCACUUAAUGUUUCUACUCACUACUGAGAGUUUAAGUUGUAGACUGGCUGCAUUGUUACUUUCAUUAUGAAAUUCCAUGUAUUUGCUCUAUGAACAAUACGGCUUGUUCUAAUCCCUUUGCAACACGUAGAAGAUCGAUUAGCUGGUCUGGUAGAAAGCUGCUUGGCAUCUCUCUUGACUUCCACAUGUUUUGUUUCUUGUAAUCACUAAGGGUCCAAUACACAUUGUCUUGUAAAAAAAAAAAAACCCAAGCAAGUUAGUAAAGACAUAUAUGAAUGGAAAUAGGCAUAUAUAUUCUUAUUUCUCAAGGGACAUGACCACUGAAAAUUUACGUUUUUGUACUUAUUUUUAACUUUUCUUUUUACUAAAUAAAUUU